CUGUUUGCCGGUGGAGCAUCAUCAAGAUUCACAAGCUUUAGGGGCAUUAAUUUGUUUGAGGUGGUUCCUUAUUGCUCCAAAACCAAUUAGCCCUUUUGCUAUGGGAAUCUUGAUGAUGCUGCAGCAGCAAUAAA
rfam:Glycine soja cultivar W05 scaffold4520_22, whole genome shotgun sequence.